rnacentral:tRNA from 1 species
CAUUAGGUGGCUGAAAGUAAGCAAUGGAAUUUUAAAUCAUCAGACGGUAAUUAACAUCUACCCCUAAUG